rnacentral:rRNA from 1 species
CGUGUAGGCGGUUCGGUAAGUCAGAUGUGAAAGCCCUGGGCUCAACCCAGGAAGUGCAUUUGAAACUACCCAACUUGAGUACGGGAGAGGAAGGGGGAAUUCCCGGUGUAGAGGUGAAAUUCGUAGAUAUCGGGAGGAAUACCGGUGGCGAAGGCGCCCUUCUGGACUGAUACUGACGCUGAGACGCGAAAGCGUGGGGAGCAAACA